rnacentral:rRNA from 1 species
CCUACGAGGUGCAGCAGUGGGGGAUAUUGCACAAUGGGGGGAACCCUGAUGCAGCGACGCCGCGUGGGUUCAGGAGCGUUUCGGCGCGUAAAGCCCUAUCGGCAGGGAAGAAGCUGACGGUCCCUGACCACGAAGCCCCGGCUAACUACGUGCCAGCAGCCGCGGUAAUACGUCGGGGGCAAGCGUUAUCGGGAUUUACUGGGUGUAAAGGGGGCGCAGACGGCAAUGCAAGCCAGGCGUGAAAGCCCGGGGCCCAACCCCGGGACUGCGCUUGGAAGGGCAUGGCUGGAGUACAGGAGGGGCAGGCGGAAGUCAUAGUGUAGCGGUGAAAUGCGUAGAUAUUAGGAGGAACACCGGUGGCGAAGGCGGCCGGCUGGACUGUGACUGACGUUGAGGCCCGAAGGCGUGGGGAGCAAACAGGAUUAGAUACCCCUGUAGUC